rnacentral:rRNA from 1 species
GCCUACCAUGGUUUUAACGGGUAACGGGGAAUUAGGGUUCGAUUCCGGAGAGGGAGCCUGAGAAACGGCUACCACAUCCAAGGAAGGCAGCAGGCGCGCAAAUUACCCAAUCCCGACACGGGGAGGUAGUGACAAUAAAUAACAAUACGGGGCUCAUUUGGGUCUCGUAAUUGGAAUGAGUACAAUUUAAAUCCCUUAACGAGGAACAAUUGGAGGGCAAGUCUGGUGCCAGCAGCCGCGGUAAUUCCAGCUCCAAUAGCGUAUAUUAAAGUUGUUGCAGUUAAAAAGCUCGUAGUUGAACUUCGGGGUUCACCCAUUGGUCAGGCUUAAUUGUCUGCACUGGUGAGAUGAGUCUCUACCUUCUGAGGAACUUUCAUGCCAUUUAUUUGGUGUGAUUGGAAAUCAGGACUGUUACUUUGAAAAAAUUAGAGUGUUUAAAGCAGGCUAACGUCUGAAUACAUUAGCAUGGAAUAAUGAAAUAGGACGGACUGAUUCUAUUUCGUUGGUUUCUAGGAUCACCGUAAUGAUUAAUAGGGAUAGUUGGGGGCAUUAGUAUUCAAUUGUCAGAGGUGAAAUUCUUGGAUUUAUUGAAGACUAACUACUGCGAAAGCAUUUGCCAAGGAUGUUUUCAUUAAUCAAGAACGAAAGUUAGGGGAUCGAAGACGAUCAGAUACCGUCGUAGUCUUAACCAUAAACUAUGCCGACUAGGGAUCGGACGAAGUUAAUUUUAUAAUGACGCGUUCGGCACCUUACG